GGCAGGGAAGUAAAAAGCUAGUUUUUCAGAGCUGGACUGAGACAGACCAUGAUGGUUUUUGCUGUUCAAUCUAAAGCCAUCCACUCAUUUGCAGCCCUUUGAGUGGCAAUAUGAUGAGUGACCGUGGUGUCCAUGAUGACCUCCUCCCUCCCCCCCUGCCAGGGCAAUUGUGGUACAGGCCACGCACUCUCCAGAGCCCGGCCCGCCGCCUCGCUCCUUCGGCUUCUUCAUGGUUAUCAUCGGAGCUCCACCAGCCCGCCGUCCGGCUGCGGUGGCGGCGGCCAGACUCAUGCC